rnacentral:rRNA from 1 species
AGUGAACGCUGGCGGUAGGCCUAACACAUGCAAGUCGAACGGCAGCACAGUAAGAGCUUGCUCUUACGGGUGGCGAGUGGCGGACGGGUGAGGAAUACAUCGGAAUCUACUUUUUCGUGGGGGAUAACGUAGGGAAACUUACGCUAAUACCGCAUACGACCUACGGGUGAAAGCAGGGGAUCUUCGGACCUUGCGCGAUUGAACGAGCCGAUGUCGGAUUAGCUGGUUGGCGGGGUAAAGGCCCACCAAGGCGACGAUCCGUAGCUGGUCUGAGAGGAUGAUCAGCCACACUGGAACUGAGACACGGUCCAGACUCCUACGGGAGGCAGCAGUGGGGAAUAUUGGACAAUGGGCGCAAGCCUGAUCCAGCCAUACCGCGUGGGUGAAGAAGGCCUUCGGGUUGUAAAGCCCUUUUGUUGGGAAAGAAAAGCAGCAGGUUAAUACCCCGCUGUUCUGACGGUACCCAAAGAAUAAGCACCGGCUAACUUCGUG